rnacentral:rRNA from 2 species
UCGACGCGUUGGCCCAAUUGAUUGAUGGUGCUUGCACCUGAUUGAUUUUGGUCGCCAACGAGUGGCGGACGGGUGAGUAACACGUAGGUAACCUGCCCAGAAGCGGGGGACAACAUUUGGAAACAGAUGCUAAUACCGCAUAACAACGUUGUUCGCAUGAACAACGCUUAAAAGAUGGCUUCUCGCUAUCACUUCUGGAUGGACCUGCGGUGCAUUAGCUUGUUGGUGGGGUAACGGCCUACCAAGGCGAUGAUGCAUAGCCGAGUUGAGAGACUGAUCGGCCACAAUGGGACUGAGACACGGCCCAUACUCCUACGGGAGGCAGCAGUAGGGAAUCUUCCACAAUGGGCGCAAGCCUGAUGGAGCAACACCGCGUGAGUGAAGAAGGGUUUCGGCUCGUAAAGCUCUGUUGUUAAAGAAGAACACGUAUGAGAGUAACUGUUCAUACGUUGACGGUAUUUAACCAGAAAGUCACGGCUAACUACGUGCCAGCAGCCGCGGUAAUACGUAGGUGGCAAGCGUUAUCCGGAUUUAUUGGGCGUAAAGAGAGUGCAGGCGGUUUUCUAAGUCUGAUGUGAAAGCCUUCGGCUUAACCGGAGAAGUGCAUCGGAAACUGGAUAACUUGAGUGCAGAAGAGGGUAGUGGAACUCCAUGUGUAGCGGUGGAAUGCGUAGAUAUAUGGAAGAACACCAGUGGCGAAGGCGGCUACCUGGUCUGCAACUGACGCUGAGACUCGAAAGCAUGGGUAGCGAACAGGAUUAGAUACCCUGGUAGUCCAUGCCGUAAACGAUGAGUGCUAGGUGUUGGAGGGUUUCCGCCCUUCAGUGCCGGAGCUAACGCAUUAAGCACUCCGCCUGGGGAGUACGACCGCAAG